UACGUAGGGGGCAAGCGUUGUCCGGAUUUAUUGGGCGUAAAGAGCGUGUAGGCGGUUUGGUAGGUCCGCUGUGAAAACUCGAGCUCAACCUCGAGACGCCGGUGGAAACCAUCAGACUAGAGUCCGGAAGAGGAGAGUGGAAUUCCUGGUGUAGCGGUGAAAUGCGUAGAGAUCGGGAGGAACACCAGUGGCGAAGGCGGCCUUCUGGACCAAUACUGACGCUCAUGCACGAAAGCGUGGGGAGCAAACAGG
rnacentral:rRNA from 1 species